UAGGGGAUUUUCGUCAAUGGGCGCAAGCCUGAACGAGCAAUGCCGCGUGAGUGAGGAAGGUCUUCGGAUCGUAAAGCUCUGUUGCAGGUCAGAAAAGAAGGGAAGAGGAAAAUGCUUUUCUUUUUGAUAGUAACCUGCCAGAAAGUCACGGCUAACUACGUGCC
rnacentral:rRNA from 1 species